rnacentral:sRNA from 1 species
AUUUUGCGAUAGGGAUUGUCGUGGAAAUCCUUUUUACGUAGUAGUCUUUGCAAGUAAAAAGAUUGGAACAGAAAGCCCGCCCGAUC